UGUGUAUGCACAUAUACCAAAUAUAUGUACAAAUAUGUAUCUAUACUUAAUGAAAUGCAUAUGUGUGUGUAUAUAUAUAUACACACACACAUAUUUGCUUAAUGAAUAAAUUU
rnacentral:miRNA from 1 species